ACGACCUUACUUGAACAAAAUAUGUUCUAUAGGCUUGUACCUCUAUAUCCUUGAGUUCUAAAGAGACAGGAAACUAAGCCUGGUGGAUGAACUGUGGUCAAGGAGCUAGAGCGUGAAUAAUAGUGCUGUUCCAUUGGAGCGGAGCCUCGCCAUAGAGGAUGGCUCCUUGGUUGUUUGACUGGCU
rnacentral:snoRNA from 1 species